GACGAACGCUGGCGGCGUGCUUAACACAUGCAAGUCGAACGGAAAGGCUCCAGAUUGCUGGAGUACUCGAGUGGCGAACGGGUGAGUAACACGUGGGUGAUCUGCCCUGCACUUCGGGAUAAGCCUGGGAAACUGGGUCUAAUACCGGAUAGGAACGCACCUUGGUGUGUGUGGUGGAAAGGUUUUUCUGUUGUUGGAUGAGCUCGCGGCCUAUCAGUUUGUUGGUGGGGGAAUGGCCUACCAAGACGGCGACGGGUAGACGGCCUGAGAGGGUGGACGGUCACAUUGAGACUGAGAUAAGGCCCAGACGCCUACGGGAGGCAGAAGGGGGGAAUAUUGCACAAUGGGGGAAACCCUGAUGCAGCGACGCCGCGUGGGGGAUGAAGGCCUUCGGGUUGUAAACUCCAUUCGCUAGGGACGAAGCUUUUUGUGACGGUACCUGGAGAAGAAGCACCGGCUAACUACGUG
rnacentral:rRNA from 1 species